rnacentral:misc_RNA from 1 species
UGCGGCUGGAUCCCCUCCUUUAAGAGCGUGCAUCCGACGUUAGGCGUCCACACUUAUCGGUUUGUUUGAUGUUACAGCCAAGGGUCUGUAGCUCAGGUGGUUAGAGCACCGUCUUGAUAAGGCGGGGGUCGUAGGUUCAAGUCCUACCAGACCCACCAAGUUACGGACGGUGGAAGAUGUUCUCUGCCGUGACUGGGGGAUUAGCUCAGCUGGGAGAGCACCUGCUUUGCAAGCAGGGGGUCGUCGGUUCGAUCCCGUCAUCCUCCACCAUUAUCUUUUGGUUACCAAACGCAAGCAUCGACGCUGUGUCGAUGGUGUUUGCGUUUGGCCUAGCCAAGACGAGCGUAAAAGUUCGGCUGUUCUUUAACAAUAUGGAAUGUAGUAAAGGUGUCGCGGUGCGUUGAUGAGACGCACACUCAAACGCGACACUGGGUUGUGAUUGUAUCAACCAGUAUUACCAGAGCAAUCGAUGAGAUUGUCUUGGAAUACGGCACAACGCGAGAACUCAGCCUAUAGCGAGACAUACUCGUUAUAGGGUCAAGCGAAUAAGUGCAUGUGGUGGAUGCCUUGGCGAUUACAGGCGAUGAAGGACGUAGUAGCCUGCGAAAAGCUGCGGGGAGCUGGCAAACAAGCUUUGAUCCGCAGAUAUCCGAAUGGGGAAACCCGGAAAUCGAUUU